rnacentral:tRNA from 1 species
GCCGUGGCUCAGCGGUAGAGCAUCUGCUUGGCAUGUAGAAGAUCACAGGUUCAAUUCCUGGCAUCUCCA